UACGUAGGGUGCGAGCGUUUAAUCGGAAUUACUGGGCGUAAAGCGUGCGCAGGCGGCGCGUUUAAGACAGGUGUGAAAGCCCCCGAGCUUAACUUGGGAAUUGCGCUUGUGACUGGCGUGCUGGAGUGUGGCAGAGGGAGGUGGAAUUCCACGUGUAGCAGUGAAAUGCGUAGAGAUGUGGAGGAACACCGAUGGCGAAGGCAGCCUCCUGGGCCAGCACUGACGCUCAUGCACGAAAGCGUGGGGAGCAAACAGG
rnacentral:rRNA from 1 species